GAGUUUGAUCCUGGCUCAGAUUGAACGCUGGCGGCAUGCCUUACACAUGCAAGUCGAACGGCAGCACGGGAGCUUGCUCCUGGUGGCGAGUGGCGAACGGGUGAGUAAUGCAUCGGAACGUAUCCCGGAGUGGGGGAUAACGUAGCGAAAGUUACGCUAAUACCGCAUAUUCUGUGAGCAGGAAAGCGGGGGACCUUCGGGCCUCGCGCUCUUGGAGCGGCCGAUGUCGGAUUAGCUAGCUGGUGAGGUAAAGGCUCACCAAGGCGACGAUCCGUAGCAGGUCUGAGAGGAUGAUCUGCCACACUGGAACUGAGACACGGUCCAGACUCCUACGGGAGGCAGCAGUGGGGAAUUUUGGACAAUGGGGGCAACCCUGAUCCAGCCAUGCCGCGUGAGUGAAGAAGGCCUCGGUUGUAAG
rnacentral:rRNA from 1 species